rnacentral:tRNA from 1 species
UGGGGUGUGGCUCAGUUGUAGAGCACUCGCCUAGCAUGUGCAAGGCCCUGGGUUGGAUCCUCAGCACCACAC